AUGCCUUUGGCCUUGGCCCUGGUGCUUUUGUGUGGCCUGGGCGGCCCCGGGGCAUGGGGCUGCCUGCAGUGCGACCAGUCAGUGCUACUGGAGCUCAGGCAGUUGCGUGAGGCCAUCGUCACCAAGCGCUUCCAUCUGGAAGGGCUGCAGGCGCGCGCUCAGGCCCUGCUGUUGAGCAUGGAGGGGCCUUUCUUCAGGGACUAUGCAGUGAACGCUUUCGUGGGGAAAGUGGUCGUGGAUCAACUGGAAAAAGUGGCAACAUCCUUCAAGAACCAAGCCCAGUAUAUAAAGGCUAACUCUAAGACAGAUGUUCCCCUGCUGGAAGAGCUGGUGAGCUUCAGGGAACAUGCCAUCAAGGAACUAAAGAGAGCAUUGAGAGACUAUGAAAUGAAAGCCUGUGACCACAAAGCUUGCCUUCUUGGGGUUUGCUUUUCUCCACGUCUCCCUCUCACCCUGCCCAGACUCGUUCAAAGCGGAGGUCCUGGACUGUUUAUAUUGCAAGAAAACCACGCCCAAGUGCAUCAAGAAAAAAUACUGCUUUGUUGUGCUCUACAUCCAGAUGUGCCCGCAGCAGGAAGGGAGAGAGACUCUGAGCUUUGAAUGGACUUUUUGAAUCCUCAAAACCCACCUCCAGUGACACACUCCUCGAAGGAUGCCACACCUCCUAGUCCUUUCAAACAGUGCCACUCUGUGGUGACCGAGUAUUUUUUGAGCCUGUGGGGACCAUUCUCACUCAGACACCACGGUCUUUAAGAAAGAACCACGGCUACCUGCUUCUCCCACACAGUCCGCGUAGCUCUAAGGACACUGUCUCCUCUCACCACAAUGGUCUCUUGAUAACAGAGAAGUUCCCUGUGUGUGCGUGUGGCCUGUGGGAACAUGUGGCCGUGGAGAGGAAGACGCACCAGAGGAUGGGCAGUUCCGCAUGACUCUGAAAUUCCAGGACGACAACAAACCAAGGAACAU